rnacentral:rRNA from 1 species
AUUGAACGCUGGCGGCAGGCCUAACACAUGCAAGUCGAGCGGCAGCGGGAAAGUAGCUUGCUACUUUUGCCGGCGAGCGGCGGACGGGUGAGUAAUGCCUGGGAAAUUGCCCAGUCGAGGGGGAUAACAGUUGGAAACGACUGCUAAUACCGCAUACGCCCUACGGGGAAAGGCGGGGGCCUUCGGGCCCUGCGCGAUUGGAUAUGCCCAGGUGGGAUUAGCUAGUUGGUGGGGUAAUGGCUCACCAAGGCGACGAUCCCUAGCUGGUCUGAGAGGAUGAUCAGCCACACUGGAACUGAGACACGGUCCAGACUCCUACGGGAGGCAGCAGUGGGGAAUAUUGCACAAUGGGGGAAACCCUGAUGCAGCCAUGCCGCGUGUGUGAAGAAGGCCUUCGGGUUGUAAAGCACUUUCAGUAGGGAGGAAGGAUGUUGUGUUAAUAGCACAGCAUUUUGACGUUACCUACAGAAGAAGCACCGGCUAACUCUGUGCCAGCCGCCGCAGUAAAAC